GGCCUACCAUGGUGGUAACGGGUAACGGGGUGUUAGGGCACGACACCGGAGAGGGAGCCUGAGAAACGGCUACCACAUCCAAGGAUGGCAGCAGGCGCGCAAAUUACCCAAUCCCGACACGGGGAGGUAGUGACAAUAAAUAACAAUACGGGGUUCUUUCGGAUCUCGUAAUUGGAAUGAGUACAAUUUAAAUCUCUUAACGAGGAACAAUUGGAGGGCAAGUCUGGUGCCAGCAGCCGCGGUAAUUCCAGCUCCAAUAGCGUAUAUUAAAGUUGUUGCAGUUAAAAAGCUCGUAGUUGAAUUUCGGGGUUAGUAGGUUGGUCAUGCCUCUGGUAUGUACUGGUCUCACUGAUUCCUCCUUCCUGAUGAACCUUAAUGCCAUUAAUUUGGUGUUUUGGGGAAUUUGGACUGUUACUUUGAAAAAAUUAGAGUGUUUAAAGCAAGCUAACGCUUGAAUACAUUAGCAUGGAAUAAUGAAAUAGGACGUUCGAUCCUAUUUUGUUGGUUUCUAGGAUUGACGUAAUGAUUAAUAGGGAUAGUUGGGGGCAUUAGUAUUCAAUUGUCAGAGGUGAAAUUCUUGGAUUUAUUGAAGACUAACUACUGCGAAAGCAUUUGCCAAGGAUGUUUUCAUUAAUCAAGAACGAAAGUUAGGGGAUCGAAGACGAUCAGAUACCGUCGUAGUCUUAACCAUAAACUAUGCCGACUAGGGAUCGGGAUGAUGUUAAUUUUUUAAUGACUCAUUCGGCGCCUUACG
rnacentral:rRNA from 1 species